AGGUAAAAUUCACAUUUUAAGUUUUUGAAAUAUUUUUACAGUUGAAACAAACUCGAAAUGUUUUUUAAGUGCAUUUUAAUUGUUGCAUUGUUUUGUUGUAUUCAAAAUGGCAAUGCUGAAGAUCCCGCCAAGGAGCCGAGAAGAUAUUUUCUUGAUCAUAGGGAUAGAGGGUCUAAUACACUGUCCUCGCAAGAUGUUGCCUCUUAUGUAAAAAGCAAAUAUCUUAUGGAUAAAACAUACUCGGGAACGUUCAGUUGGGAUCGAUUUUGGAAAGAACUUAAGAGCAUAGACAGUAGUUUUCCAGAUCUAAGCGGAGGUAACGAGAAAAUAUUCGUACGAUAUUGAAAAAAUAGUUAACGCAAAAUACGCUGUAUGAUGGUAGUCGUCUGAAGCUUAUCGACAUGCUUAUUCAUUAGAAUGGUUUGAUUGCUGAAACUAUCUCUAGUCUGAUUGAAUGUGGUAACAACAGUUUUAAGAUGAGUCAAAGAUGAUGGUUGAACAGUUCUCCAUUGACACUAACUGAAAGAAAUAAUUGUUUUAUUAUUUGUCUAAAUAGAAUAGG